rnacentral:rRNA from 1 species
UUGAAAGGGAAACGAUUGAAGUCAGUCGUACCGACGGAGAAUCAACCUUUGGAGUGCGAGUCGAGGUAUUCGAGGAGUUUAAAAGCCCUUGUGUGCUUCCGUAUCGUGCUUCUUGGGUGCUUUUCUUCGUAUGGUAGGUUAACAUCAAUUUUGGACGUUACAAAAUGACUGGGGGAAUGUAGCUUCGAUUUUUCGAAGUGUUAUAGCCCUUGGUAGAUGUGACGACCGGGAUUGAGGAUUGCAACGAAUGCUUUCGGGCUAUCCGUCUGACCUCUGGUGGUUGCUUUGGGGUCGAAAGCGUGCUUACGGCUUUAAAGUUGGCUAUCAAAAGGCUAGAACGUGAUUAAAUUCGUUAAGGAUGUUGACGUA